AUUGAACGCUGGCGGCAGGCCUAACACAUGCAAGUCGAGCGAGCGGCGGACGGGUGAGUAAUGCCUGGGAAUUGCCCAGUCGAGGGGGAUAACAGUUGGAAACGACUGCUAAUACCGCAUACUAUUGUAUUGCCCAGGUGGGAUUAGAUAGUUGGUGAGGUAAUGGCUCACCAAGGCGAAGAUCCCUAUCUGGUCUGAGAGGAUGAUCAGCCAAACUGGAAAUGGGACACGGGCCAGACUGCUACGGGAGGGAGCAGUAGGGAAUCUUAGGAAAUGGACGGAAGGCUGAAGAAGGAACGGCGCGUGAGUGAAGAAGGUUUUCGGGUCGUAAAGCUCGUUGAGAGAGAAGACGGUAACUAAACAGAAAGGGACGGCUAACUACGUGCCAGCAGCCGCGGUAAUUC
rnacentral:rRNA from 1 species